GACGAACGCUGGCGGCGUGCUUAACACAUGCAAGUCGAACGAUGAAGCGGUGCUUGCACCGUGGAUUAGUGGCGAACGGGUGAGUAAUACGUGAGUGACCUACCUUUGACUCUGGGAUAAGCCUGGGAAACUGGGUCUAAUACCGGAUACGACCAAUCUCAGCAUGGGGUGUUGGUGGAAAGCGUUAUGGAGUGGUCUUAGAUGGGCUCACGGCCUAUCAGCUUGUUGGUGAGGUAAUGGCUUACCAAGGCGACGACGGGUAGCCGGCCUGAGAGGGUGACCGGCCACACUGGGACUGAGACACGGCCCAGACUCCUACGGGAGGCAGCAGUGGGGAAUAUUGCACAAUGGGCGCAAGCCUGAUGCAGCGACGCCGCGUGAGGGAUGACGGCCUUCGGGUUGUAAACCUCUGUUAGCAUCGAAGAAGCGAAAGUGACGGUAGGUGCAGAGAAAGCGCCGGCUAACUACGUGCCAGCAGCCGCGGUAAUACGUAGGGCGCGAGCGUUGUCCGGAAUUAUUGGGCGUAAAGAGCUUGUAGGCGGUUGGUCGCGUCUGCUGUGAAGGCCGGGGCUUAACUCCGGUUUUGCAGUGGGUACGGGCUAACUAGAGUGCAGUAGGGGAGACUGGAAUUCCUGGUGUAGCGGUGGAAUGCACAGAUAUCAGGAGGAACACCGAUGGCGAAGGCAGGUCUCUGGGCUGUAACUGACGCUGAGAAGCGAAAGCAUGGGGAGCGAACAGGAUUAGAUACCCUGGUAGUCCAUGCCGUAAACGUUGGGCACUAGGUGUGGGGGACAUUCCACGUUUUCCGCGCCGUAGCUAACGCAUUAAGUGCCCCGCCUGGGGAGUACGGCCGCAAGGCUAAAACUCAAAGGAAUUGACGGGGGCCCGCACAAGCGGCGGAGCAUGCGGAUUAAUUCGAUGCAACGCGAAGAACCUUACCAAGGCUUGACAUGCAUUAGAUCGCGUCAGAGAUGGCGUUUCCCUUCGGGGCUGGUGUACAGGUGGUGCAUGGUUGUCGUCAGCUCGUGUCGUGAGAUGUUGGGUUAAGUCCCGCAACGAGCGCAACCCUCGUUCUAUGUUGCCAGCGGUUCGGCCGGGGACUCAUAGGAGACUGCCGGGGUCAACUCGGAGGAAGGUGGGGAUGACGUCAAAUCAUCAUGCCCCUUAUGUCUUAGGCUUCACGCAUGCUACAAUGGCCGGUACAGAGGGUUGCGAUACUGUGAGGUGGAGCUAAUCCCUUAAAGCCGGUCUCAGUUCGGAUUGGGGUCUGCAACUCGACCCCAUGAAGUCGGAGUCGCUAGUAAUCGCAGAUCAGCAACGCUGCGGUGAAUACGUUCCCGGGCCU
rnacentral:rRNA from 1 species